rnacentral:rRNA from 1 species
GAGUUUGAUCAUGGCUCAGGAUGAACGCACAAGACGUGCCUAACACAUGCAAAUCGAAUGAAAAGAAUUAAUUAUUGUUUUCAUGGUGAACGGGUGAGUAACACAUAAGAAUCAGCUUUUAGAUAAGGCAUAAAAGAGUAAUAUCUUGGUAAUUCCUUAUAUGCGCAGCAGUGCUUAAAAAGGGGAGUCCCGUCUAAAAACGAGCUUAUGCCUGAUUAGCUAGUUGGCGAGUUAAAAGCUCACCAAGGCGAAGAUCAGUAGCUGGCCUGAGAGGGCGGCCAGCCACAUUGGGACUGAGACACGGCCCAAACUCCUACGGGAGGCAGCAGUGGGGAAUCUUCUGCAAUGGGCGCAAGCCUGACAGAGCGGCGUCGUGUGAAGGAAGAAGGCCUGAAAUAGGUUGUAAACUUCUUUUACUGAGUAAUGAAUAAUGACAACGCAGUAAAAAAGUAUCGGCUAACUCCGUGCCAGCAGCCGCGGUAAUACGGGGGAUGCAAGCGUUAUCCGGAAUCACUGGGCGUAAAGCGUCUGUAGGUGGUUUAGUGUGUUCUUAGUUAAAUUAUGAAGCCUAACUUCAUGAAAAGUAAGAAAACUAUUAGACUUGAGUACGAUAGGGGUAAGAGGAAUUCUUCGAGAAGUAGUGAAAUGCGAAGAUACGAAGGAGAAGAUCAUAAGCGAAGGCUUCUUACUGGGUCGUAACUGACACUGAGAGACGAAAGCUAGGGGAGCGAAUGGGAUUAGAUACCCCAGUAGUCCUAGCUGUAAACGAUGGAUAUUCGGUGCCGGAAAUUUUAUUAGAACAUUUCGGUACCCUAGCUAACGCGUUAAAUAUCCCGCCUGAGGAGUACGCUCGCAAGGGUGAAACUCAAAGGAAUUGACGGGGGCUCGCACAAGCGGUGGAGCAUGUGGUUUAAUUCGAUGCAAAGCGAAGAACCUUACCAGG